rnacentral:rRNA from 1 species
CAGUCGCCACGGGAAUACGGAGGGUGCAAGCGUUAAUCGGAAUUACUGGGCGUAAAGCGCACGCAGGCGGUCUGACAAGUCAGAUGUGAAAUCCCCGGGCUUAACCUGGGAACUGCAUUUGAAACUGUCAGGCUGGAGUCUUGUAGAGGGGGGUGGAAUUCCAGGUGUAGCGGUGAAAUGCGUAGAGAUCUGGAGGAAUACCGGUGGCGAAGGCGGCCCCCCGGACAAAGACUGACGCUCAGGUGCGAAAGCGUGGGGAGCAAACAGGAUUAGAUACCCGCGUAGUCCCUGUCUCUUAUAC